rnacentral:rRNA from 4 species
AAAUUGAAGAGUUUGAUCAUGGCUCAGAUUGAACGCUGGCGGCAGGCCUAACACAUGCAAGUCGAACGGUAACAGGAAGCAGCUUGCUGCUUUGCUGACGAGUGGCGGACGGGUGAGUAAUGUCUGGGAAACUGCCUGAUGGAGGGGGAUAACUACUGGAAACGGUGGCUAAUACCGCAUAACGUCGCAAGACCAAAGAGGGGGACCUUCGGGCCU